GGUCAUAUUAUAUGUCAUUGGACACGAUUUUGAAUAAGGAAUGCUAUGAUGAUAAUCGUUUGCUCAUUUGGUGCACGUAGGAAAAGCGUGAUAUUAAAAUCGGACUAAAUCAUUCUAAGAUCAUCGAUAAGCUUAGGAGCGUUUCUUUGGGCUCGGAUUAAAUUCUAAGGAGGUAUCUAAAGAGGAGUCUAGUGACGCGAACGUGGAAAAGUAUGAAUUGUUGCUGAAGCCAAGGUGUUUAGUGCCAUAGUCCUAUCUUUUGAACAUUGUAUGUAUUUAAUUUGGAACCUAUCGGUCUGAACAUCUAAAUUAGCUAUGUCCUAGUUAGAAAUGAGGAAUGGUGGAUGCUAAGUAUUAUUUUGGCUAUUUUAUGACUUAUUAAAUUUAACUGUUUGGUGACUACAUAACUGUGGGGAUAUUAUUAUUCUAUGUAUUAAGAUAAAUGAUCCUACUUUUAUCCGUAAUAUUUUCAUAUAUAA